CGUUCUCUGCUGUGUGCGACAGCGUGCGCAACAUUCGCCUUGUCCCUUAAUGACGACCCUGGGGACGCACCGGCAGCCGGGAGUGCAUGUCCGCCGCGAGCGGAAAGCCCGAUGGCCGCCCCGCGUUCCCACUUGAACCCCGGGUUCAAGGUCGUUCCGCACGCAUCGCCACGGCGGAGACAUU
rnacentral:other from 1 species